CGCGGGAGCGGGAGCGGCCUGGGGAGCCGGAGCGCACCAUGGAGGCGGCGGCGGGCGGCCGCGGCGGCUUCCAGCCGCACCCGGGGCUGCAGAAGACGCUGGAGCAGUUCCACCUGAGCUCCAUGAGCUCGCUGGGCGGCCCGGCCGCCUUCUCGGCGCGCUGGGCGCAGGAGGCCUACAAGAAGGAGAGCUCCAAGGAGGCGGGCGCGGCUGCGGUGCCGGCGCCGGUGCCCGCGGCUGCCGAGCCGCCGCCGGUGCUGCACCUGCCCACCAUCCAGCCGCCGCCGCCCGUGCUGCCCGGGCCCUUCUUCAUGCCGUCCGACCGCUCCACAGAGCGUUGCGAGACCGUGCUGGAGGGCGAGACCAUCUCGUGCUUCGUGGUGGGCGGCGAGAAGCGCCUCUGUUUGCCGCAGAUCCUCAACUCGGUGCUGCGCGACUUCUCGCUGCAGCAGAUCAACUCGGUGUGCGACGAGCUGCACAUCUACUGCUCGCGCUGCACGGCCGACCAGCUGGAGAUCCUCAAAGUCAUGGGCAUCCUGCCCUUCUCGGCGCCCUCGUGCGGGCUCAUCACCAAGACGGACGCUGAGCGCCUGUGCAACGCGCUGCUGUACGGCGGCGCCUACCCGCCGCCCUGCAAGAAGGAGCUGGCGGCCAGCCUGGCGCUGGGCCUGGAGCUCAGCGAGCGCAGCGUGCGCGUGUACCACGAGUGCUUCGGCAAGUGCAAGGGGCUGCUGGUGCCCGAGCUCUACAACAGCCCGAGCGCCGCCUGCAUCCAGUGCCUCGACUGCCGCCUCAUGUACCCACCGCACAAGUUCGUGGUGCACUCGCACAAGGCCCUGGAGAACCGGACCUGCCACUGGGGCUUCGACUCGGCCAACUGGCGGGCCUACAUCCUGCUCAGCCAGGACUACACGGGCAAGGAGGAGCAGGCGCGCCUCGGCCGCUGUCUGGACGACGUCAAGGAGAAGUUCGACUACGGCAACAAGUACAAGCGGCGGGUGCCCCGGGUCUCCGAGCCCCCAGCCUCCGUAAGAAAAGCAGACGACGCCCCCUCCCAGCACCCCACAUCCUCCGAGAAGGACAAGCAGUCUGGCUGGCUGCGGACUCUGGCCGGCUCCUCCAGCAAGAGCCUGGGCUGCAUCCACCCUCGCCAGCGCCUCUCUGCCUUCCGACCCUGGUCCCCUGCGGUUUCUGCGAGUGACAAAGAGCUCUCCCCACACCUCCCAGCCCUGAUUCGAGACAGCUUUUACUCCUACAAGAGUUUUGAGACGGGCGUGGCCCCCAACGUGGCCCUAGCACCGCCAGCCCAGCACAAGGUGGUGAGCAGCCCGCCCUGCGCCACGGUCGUCUCCCGGGCCCCCGAACCCGUCACCAGCUGCGUCCAGCCUCGGAAGCGGAAGCUGACGGUGGACACCCCUGGAGCCCCGGAGACACCGGCACCCGGGUCUGCCCCAGAGGAGGACAAGGACUCAGAGGCCGAGGUGGAGGUGGAGGGAAGAGAGGAGUUCACCUCCUCCCUGUCCUCGCUCUCCUCCCCGUCCUUUACCUCAUCCGGCUCCGCCAAGGACCUGAGCUCCCCGGGCCUGCUUGCCCUGCCUGCGGCCCCCGGCGCCCCCGAUGCCGCGGCCCCCGCCGACGCCCCGAGCAGCGGGCUGGAGGUGGAGCUGGAGCACCUGCGGCAGGCCCUGGAGGGCGGCCUGGACACCAAGGAAGCCAAAGAGAAGUUCCUGCACGAGGUGGUGAAGAUGCGCGUGAAGCAGGAGGAGAAGCUGAGCGCCGCGCUGCAGGCCAAGCGCAGCCUCCACCAGGAGCUGGAGUUCCUGCGCGUGGCCAAGAAGGAGAAGCUGCGGGAGGCCACGGAGGCCAAGCGCAGCCUCCGGAAGGAGAUCGAGCGGCUCCGGGCCGAGAAUGAGAAGAAGAUGAAGGAGGCCAACGAGGCGCGGCUCCGCCUGAAGCGGGAGCUGGAGCAGGCGCGGCAGGCGCGCGUGUGCGACAAGGGCUGCGAGGCCGGCCGCCUGCGGGCCAAGUACUCGGCCCAGAUCGAGGACCUGCAGGUGAAGCUGCAGCACGCGGAGGCCGAUCGCGAGCAGCUGCGGGCUGACCUCCUGCGGGAGCGGGAGGCCCGGGAGCACCUGGAGAAGGUGGUGAAGGGGCUGCAGGAGCAGCUGUGGCCACGGCCCCGCUCUGAGGCCACGGGCAGCGAGAGCACGGCCGAGCUGGAGCCCUAGCCGGACCCACUGUCUGCUGCGCGGAGCGGACGCCGCAGGGCCGGCGGGCGGGCGGGCGGGCGGUCAGCGGGGCUGGGGGCUCUGUGCCGGCGGGGCCGCUCCCCACCCCCACCCCCCACCCCCGGCCCCCCCAGCCCUGGUCCAUAUAGCACAACGUCUUACUGUGCCUAGAACCAAGCAAGUGUUUGGAACCACAUACUUUUGGAAUCCACUGCAAAAUUUUCUACUGGCCAAGGUCAAGCGAGCAAGCCGGUCCCCAACUGCAGCCGGAGUCGAGGCCAGCUCGGUAGCUGCAGCUGGCCCUCCGCUUGCUGGAUCGUUCUAACAUUUACACUUUUGUGAUAAGCUAUUUAAAACCCAUAAGGAGACUUGGUAUUCAAAGAAGUCAACAUGUUUUUUAAUGACUAACUUUUAAAAGCCCCACCCACACGUGACGCCACCUGAGGACCCGCAGGGAGCCAGGGUGGCAGCCGCCCUGCCCCUCGAAGCCAUCACAGCGCGCCCGCGCCCGCGGCCGCGUGACAACACAAAGGGUUUUUCUCCAGAGUCUAUUUUUUCAGCCACAAGGACCCCCGUCUCCCGUGCUGCCACCGGGAAGGGCACGGAGAGCACCGCGCAGGCACGAUGAGCUGGAACACUGCCGCCUUACCCGUCCGCCGCUCCGGCCCGCCUUCCACAGGAAAAAAACCACAGCUCCACCCUCGUACCCGCCGGGAGCGUCUGCAUCACCGUCCCCUUCUUUCCUUUGCUGCUGCUAAUGACAAUAUGAU